GCCGGAGUGUCGGAACUGGCAGACGAGAUAGACUCAAAAUCUGUUGUCCGUAAGGGCGUAUGGGUUCAAGUCCCAUCUCCGGCACCA
rnacentral:tRNA from 1 species